AGGUCAAUAUUCCUGUACCGAUGUGUAGUGCGAUGUGGGGACGGAUCUUAAUAGGUCAUCCGGGUGUUGGAUAUCCCGGUUUAGGCAGAUGUAGGCGACAGGUAGGCAAAUCCGCCUGUCAUAUACCGAGGCUGCCGAUCGAGCGAGCUUGCUCGCGAAGUGAUUGAACGAGGUUCCAGGAAAAGCCACUAAGCUUCAGCUACACACGACCGUACCGCAAACCGACACUGGUGCGCGAGAUGAGUAUUCUAAGGCGCUUGAGAGAACUCGGGAGAAGGAACUCGGCAAAUUGACACCGUAACUUCGGAAGAAGGUGUGCCCUAUUAGUGUGAAGUGAACAACGGAGCAUGAAUGGGUUGCAAAAAAUCGGUGGCUGCGACUGUUUAUUAAAAACACAGCACUCUGCAAACACGAAAGUGGACGUAUAGGGUGAGACGCCUGCCCGGUGCUGGAAGAUUAAAUGAUGGGGUGCAAGCUCUUGAUUGAAGUCCCAGUAAACGGCGGCCGUAACAAUAACGGUCCUAAGGUAGCGAAGUUCCUUGUCGGGUAAGUUCCGACCUGCACGAAUGGCGUAACGAUGGCCACACUGUCUCCUCCCGAGACUCAGCGAAGUUGAAAUGUUUGUGAUGAUGCAAUCUCCCCGCGGAAAGACGGAAAGACCCCAUGAACCUUUACUGUAGCUUUGUAUUGGACUUUGAACAGAUCUGUGUAGGAUAGGUGGGAGGCUUUGAAGCAGGGUCGCUAGAUCUUGUGGAGCCAACGUUGAAAUACCACCCUGGUGUGUUUGAGGUUCUAACCUAGGUCCAUUAUCUGGAUCGGGGACAGUGCAUGGUAGGCAGUUUGACUGGGGCGGUCUCCUCCCAAAGCGUAACGGAGGAGUUCGAAGGUACGCUAGUUACGGUCGGACAUCGUGACGAUAGUGCAAUGGCAUAAGCGUGCUUAACUGCGAGACUGACAAGUCGAGCAGAUGCGAAAGCAGGACAUAGUGAUCCGGUGGUUCUGUAUGGAAGGGCCAUCGCUCAACGGAUAAAAGGUACUCUGGGGAUAACAGGCUGAUACCGCCCAAGAGUUCAUAUCGACGGCGGUGUUUGGCACCUCGAUGUCGGCUCAUCUCAUCCUGGGGCUGUAGCCGGUCCCAAGGGUAUGGCUGUUCGCCAUUUAAAGAGGUACGUGAGCUGGGUUUAAAACGUCGUGAGACAGUUUGGUCCCUAUCUUCCGUGGGCGCUGCAGAUUUGAGGAAGCCUGCUCCUAGUACGAGAGGACCGGAGUGGACGCACCUCUGGUGUAUCGGUUGUCACGCCAGUGGCAUUGCCGAGUAGCUAUGUGCGGAAGAGAUAACCGCUGAAAGCAUCUAAGCGGGAAACUCGUUCCAAGAUGAGAUCUGCCGGGGCCUUGAGCCCCCUAAAGAGUCGUUCAAGACCAGGACGUUGAUAGGUCGGGUGUGGAAGCGCAGUAAUGCGUUAAGCUAACCGAUACUAAUUGCUCGUGCGGCUUGACCCG
rnacentral:rRNA from 1 species